UACGUAGGGGGCAAGCGUUGUCCGGAUUUAUUGGGCGUAAAGAGCGUGUAGGCGGCCAGGUAGGUCUGCUGUGAAAACUCGAGGCUCAACCUCGAGACGUCGGCGGAAACCAUCUGGCUAGAGUCCGGAAGAGGAGAGUGGAAUUCCUGGUGUAGCGGUGAAAUGCGCAGAUAUCAGGAGGAACACCGGUGGCGAAGGCGGGUCCCUGGGCAACUACUGACGCUGAGGAGCGAAAGCGUGGGGAGCGAACAGG
rnacentral:rRNA from 1 species